rnacentral:lncRNA from 1 species
GCGACUUGUAUAUAUUGAUUUUUCGCAAAACGAAGAAACAACUAUUACAUACUCUAUAACCACCAUCUACUGAUAGACAAGUAGUUGUGAACCGAGACUCACACUAGUACAUAUAAUACACUACUCAUUAAUCGUUUUCACGCAUAGAGUCCAUAGUGUCCCAAACACGUGCGAUAGUGUCCUAAAGGAACAAACAGGAAAUCGAAAUCUAAUCUAAAAAUUCCUAUAACAUAGAGAAAUAGCUAAAAGAAAAUAAAUUAAACUAAAUUGGGCUAGAGCCCACAAGCCAACCCAACAAAACAGGCCAAUUCAACCCCACCAUUGCGUGAAGAAGAAAGGCCGGAGUCCCGAUCUGUCCACAGCGAUGCCGACAUGAACGAGAAGCACCACCUGAUCUAAAGCUGCACCUUACCUCUUUGCCUCCAUUGAGCUACGCCUCACCUCUUUGCCUCAAUUGCCAAGAUAGAAUCAAAGCACCACCGUCACCCAGCACAGAGCAGCGAAACAAGGAAAGAUGAAACCAUUGUUGCCGUCAGCCUUCCAGCAGCGUCAACUCGAGAGCCCAGCCAUAGAAACCAAUCUCCCGUCCGGCAACGAUCGCAAGACAGCAAGGCGAUUAAAAUCAACCUUGUUGCCGACCAGUACGCCGCCGAAUGAGCACAAGGAAUGGAAGUGCCACAGCUGGAGAGAGAGAGAGAGAGAGAGAGAGAGAGAGAGAGAGAGAGAGUAGUAGUAGUAGAGAGAGAGAGAGUGAGUUAGGGUUAUAUAAUAAAAUUAAUUACUUCAAACACAUGAAAUGAUGUAAAAAGUCACUUCAAAUAGUUAUAUAUAUCAAAACUAAUAAAAUGUGGUUGGUGAUGAAGAAACUUUCACGUGCCGAUCAACGAGGGAAUGAGAAAUUUUUAAUUUUCGUCUACAUGAGUUAAGCUUU